GCCCUGCGUAGCUCAACGUCAGAGCAGCUGUCUGGUUAGCCGCCGAUCCAGGUUCAACUCCUCGGCAGGGGCACCA
rnacentral:tRNA from 1 species